rnacentral:rRNA from 1 species
UACGGAGGGAGCUAGCGUUGUUCGGAAUUACUGGGCGUAAAGCGCGCGUAGGCGGCUUUGUAGGUUAGAGGUGAAAGCCCGGGGCUCAACUCCGGAACUGCCUUUAAGACUGCAUCGCUUGAAUCCGGGAGAGGUGAGUGGAAUUCCGAGUGUAGAGGUGAAAUUCGUAGAUAUUCGGAAGAACACCAGUGGCGAAGGCGGCUCACUGGACCGGUAUUGACGCUGAGGUGCGAAAGCGUGGGGAGCAAACAGG